rnacentral:rRNA from 1 species
UGCCAGCCGCCGCGGUAAGACGAACCGGACGAACGUUAUUCGGAAUCACUGGGCUUAAAGAGUACGUAGGCGGCUUGGUAGGUUGGGUGUGAAAUCCCACAGCUCAACUGUGGAACUGCGCUCAAAACCACCAAGCUUGAGGGAGACAGGGGUAAGCGGAACUGAUGGUGGAGCGGUGAAAUGCGUUGAUAUCAUCAGGAACACCGGUGGCGAAGGCGGCUUACUGGGUCUCUUCUGACGCUGAGGUACGAAAGCUAGGGUAGCGAACGGGAUUAGAUA